rnacentral:rRNA from 2 species
GGGGAAUAUUGCGCAAUGGGGGAAACCCUGACGCAGCAAUACCGCGUGAGUGAAGAAGGUUUUCGGAUCGUAAAGCUCUGUUAUUGGGGAAGAAAAAAAGACGGUACCUUAAUAAGAAGCCCCGGCUAACUACGUGCCAGCAGCCGCGGUAAUACGUAGGGGGCAAGCGUUAUCCGGAAUUACUGGGUGUAAAGGGAGCGUAGGCGGCAUGGUAAGUUAGAUGUGAAAGCCCGGGGCUUAACCCCGAGGAUGGCAUUUAAAACUAUCAAGCUAGAGUACAGGAGAGGAACGCGGAAUUCCUAGUGUAGCGGUGAAAUGCGUAGAUAUUAGGAGGAACACCGGUGGCGAAGGCGGCUUGCUGGACAAAUACUGACGCUGAGGUGCGAACGCGUGGGGAGCAAACA